rnacentral:lncRNA from 1 species
UUGUGGGAUCACAGAUGAGAUCAGGAGAAGGACAACUGAAAGGAGAAGAGAGGAGACCAUCUCACACUGUCCAAUAUCACACUGUCCUGAUUACCAUAGUUACCAUACACAUCUUGAAAUCAGGUCUCAAUCUAUGUCAUAUGAUCAAGGCUAACUGCAGUUUCGACCUUCUAAACUCAAGUGAUCUUCCCACCUCAGCCUCCUGAGUAGCUGGGACUACAGAAACGCACCUUUGCUAUUAAAAACAG